GGUUCUAUGGUGUAGUGAUUAGCACUCUGGACUUUGAAUCCAACGACCUGGGUUCAAAUCCUGAUAGGACCU
rnacentral:tRNA from 1 species